UACGAAGGGGGCUAGCGUUGUUCGGAAUUACUGGGCGUAAAGCGCGCGCAGGCGGUUCUUCAAGUCAGGGGUGAAAUCCCAGGGCUCAACCCUGGAACUGCCUCUGAUACUGGCAAUCUGGAGAUCGGGAGAGGUUGGUGGAAUUCCGAGUGUAGAGGUGAAAUGCGUAGAUAUCUGGAGGAACACCGGUGGCGAAGGCGACAUCCUGGACCGGUAUUGACGCUGAGGCGCGAAAGCCAGGGGAGCAAACGGG
rnacentral:rRNA from 1 species